GGCGUCCCGUGUGGCUCAGUUGGUAGAGCAUGGUGUUUGCAACGCCAGGGUUGUGGGUUCGAUUCCCACGGGGGACCAGUACGGAGAAAAAAUGUAUGAAAUGUAUGCAUUCACUACUGUAAGUCGCUCUGGAUAAGAGCAUCUGCUAAAUGACUAAAAUGUAAAUGUAAAAAAUGUGUGGGUGAGCGGUUUGCUGACGUCAACAUUGUGAACAGAGUGGCCCCAUGGUGGCGGUGGGGUUAUGGUAUGGGGCAGGCAUAAGCUACGGACAACAUACACAAUUGCAAUUUGAAUGCACAGAGAUACUAUGACGAGAUCCUGGUAUAUGAUCUGAGGUCCAAUGUCGUGCCAUUCAUCCACCGCCAUCACCUCAUGUUUCAACAUAAUAACACACGACCCCAUUUCACAAGGAUCUGUACACAAUUCCUGGAAGCUGAGAAUUUCCCAGUUUUUCCAUGGUCUGCAAAAUCACCAGACGUCACCACACCCGUUGAGCAUGUUUGGGAUGCUCUGGAUCGACGUGUAUGAUGGCGUAUUCCAGUUCCCGUCGAUAUCCAGCAUCGUCACACGACCAUUUGAAGAGGAGUGGGACAACAUUCCAUAAUCAACAGUCUGAUCAACUCUCUGUGAAGAUGUCACGCGGCAUAAGGCAAAUGGUGGUCACACCAGACACUGACUGGUUUUCUGAUCUAUGCCCAUAGCUUUCUUUUUUUUCCUUUUUUUUUUUCAAGAUAUCUGUGACCAACUGUAAUCCCAGUUAUGUGAAAUCCAUAGAUUAGGGCCUAAUAGAAUUUUUCAGUUGACUGAUUUCCUCAUAUGAACUGUAACUCCAGUAAAAUCUUUGAAAUUGUUGCGUAUUGCGUUUUUAUAUUUUUUGUUCAGUGCAAUCCUAACAGUUUCCCUUCCUCCUCCCUGUAGAGAUUAGUAAAGAUGGCCUUGCAGGUAAACCUACUGUUAAGAGACCAGGCUCCUCGCCUGACAUGAAAGCUGCUGGUCCGAAGAAGGCCAGAUCAGACCAGUGAGGGGGUUCAUUCCUCUCCCCUUGUUGUCCAUGAUGACUGAACUGAAUACAACACCUUCCUACUGAAUACAAUACCCCAGGCUCCACCUAGACCCCGGACCCCAACCUCUACCAGAACCCCAUCUAACCCUACAACAGCACAUCCUGAACCUUGACCAGGCCCCAUCCUGAACCUUGACCAGGCCCCAUCCUGAACCUUGACCAGGCCCCAUCCUGAACCUUGACCAGGCCCCAUCCUGAACCUUGACCAGGCCCCAUCCUGAACCUUGACCAGGCCCCAUCCUGAACCUUGACCAGGCCCCAUCCUGAACCUUGACCAGGCCCCAUCCUGAACCUUGACCAGGCCCCAUCCUGAACCUAGACCAGGCCCCAUCCUGAACCUAGACCAGGCC
rnacentral:lncRNA from 1 species